GGGGCCAUAGCUCAGCGGGAGAGCGCCUGCCUUGCAAGCAGGAGGUCAGCGGUUCGAUCCCGCUUGGCUCCACCA
rnacentral:tRNA from 1 species